rnacentral:misc_RNA from 1 species
AACGCAUAUUGCACUCUUUGGUAUUCCGAAGAGUAUGCCUGUUUCAGUAUCAUGAAAUUCUCACUAUCUAAUGGCUUUCUUUUUUUUUUUGAAAGCCAGGAAGUGGACUUGGGCUUGCAGACUCUUUUUGUUGUUUGCUUGCUUGAAAUGAAUUUCUUUUGACACAUUUUGUGCUUUUUUGAAAUUAGCUUAAUAGUUUUGGUCCUUUUUGGCCCAAAUCCUUUAGCUCUUUCAGGCCCCAAAAAAGUCAACGAUUUUACGAACAUCCAUCUUAAAAAAUUUUGAUCUGAAAUCAGGUAGGACUACCCGCUGAACUUAA